rnacentral:misc_RNA from 1 species
AAGAUGUUUUUGUUUCAGCACUCCGCUUUGCUUUGUCAAUUAACAGCCCAUGUUCCCCAUUUGGAGAUGAGCUUCAAAGAUCUGCUCAGGAACAAGUUGACUACAUGUUAAGGGCAGACGCCGACACGUCAUUGGUAAUAACAGAUGAUGAAGUAAAAUCCGUAUUAAAAACGGGCCUCUUUAGAACUUGUGCAUCAUUUGAGAGGGAUCUAUCUUCCCUACUUUUGGAUUCUGACCUUGCAUCUCAAGCCAAUG